AUGAAGACUUCAGAAUACACUCAAUGGAGUUCCCGUGCCAGGGGUCUGUUGCAUUUGGCAAUGGUGGCCUCCAGGGCACAUUGGACUCUGAGUUGGGCUCUUCUCUGGUUGGGCUCAGCCCUGGGACAUCCGGAAAGGCUGGCGGAGGCCUUGCAAAGGGCAAGUGACGUCUGCAGUUGUCUGGAAAGGAGAGCUUACAACUGCAGCAGCUGUGGGCUCAUGGGGAUUAGCCAGGGCUAAGAAGGAGGCAGGACUCCGAGUGCACCGAAGAUUUUGGAACGUCCUAAGCCUGGGAAAAUGAAGUGGACCCUGGCUACUCCCAAUAGGUAAUUGCCCCCUUAGUCACCUGCACUUUCUUUUGAUGAUUUAUUAAUUUUGAUGCUGAACCUUAGAGAAAGCAUAAGAAAGUAUGGAGCUGAAUUUUUUUCACUACUGCUUCAUUGUUUACUUUUUAGCGGCUUGUCAUUAGUGAUUCCAUACUUAAUGUCUUUAUAUUUUCUAUUACGAUAAAUUCAAAUGUGGGAAAUUUUAAAAAGACCUCUCUUUUGUGUUGUUUAUCACAUUGGUAAGCCCUUAAAAGUUUGGAAGAACAAGUAUUGGUGGAAGUGUCAGAGGAAAAGGCAGGCUGAUUUAUUUAAUGGUGGUAUAAACUGGCUCAAUCCUUUCAGAAGACAGUUUGGCAGGGUCUGUUCAAAUUAAGAUAUGCAUAGUUUCUGACCCUGCAAUUUCCCUUCUAGAAGUUUCUCUUGCAGAAACACUUGCAGGUGUGCACACAGAUUAUUACAGGAGAAUUGUAUUCAUUACUGUUUCUAUUCAGGAGCACUGGAAACAACCCAAAUGCAUAUCAAUAGCAGAUUAAACAAUCAUGCUAAUUCCAUACAAGGGGACUCUAUGGUGUUAAGAAAAGAGAGAAGCCGUUCUCCAUGUAUUGAUGUCGAAAGAUGUCGACCACUGAGAGCCAAGUUUAAAAAGAAAAAGGCAAAGUAAAAACAGCACUACGUACGUUCUCAUUUCAAUUUAUAUGUACUAUAAAGAUCCAUAAUAGCAUGCACUGAAAAAAAGUAUCUGGAUGAAUAUAAACCAAGCAGUGUUUAUCUCUGAGGUUAUAGGGACUUUCACUGUUUUAUGGCAUGCACUUUGUAAUUUUUAUUACAGCCAUGUGUUACUUUUAUUAUCAGAAAUAACAACAAUGAUUCUUAAAAUAAGAAAAAAAAUCUUGAUCAGAAGAAAGUACUGCACACUCAUUCUUAAAAACAACUGACACCAGAGAUCUUGUGAUGUUAUUCUUGAAAAUCAAGGGAUUCUACUGAACAGGUUUGCACACCAGUGACUGGAUUUGGGAAAGUUGUUUUUGGUUUUUUUGGUUGUUUUUUUUGUUUGGUUUUUGUUUUUUUUUUUUGCUUAUGUAGUGCAAUGCUGCUGCCCAUGAUUAAAACAUAUUUUUUUCCAUGGGUUGGAGAAGUAGUAGCCUAAUAGCUUAUUUCCUAAGGUUUCCACUAGAAAAGCCCACAAGUUGUUUUAAGAUGCUUACAUGAACACAAAUUAGAAAGUGACAAGCCUUUCUUUAUUAUACAUUAGUGAGAAGGAGGAAGAGGGGCGUGAGGGAGAAGGAGGAAAGGGGGGCGCAGAAAAGCAAUUGGAUGCUCUAUUCAGGAAAUGGUAUUCCUUUUUACCUCCAUCAGUGGAGAUGCAUUCUGCAAGCUUCUAGCUAGAAGAAGGUGCUUGUAGUUUUUUUCAGACCCACUCUUUUCUAUUUAACUCUUUAGGCACCAAGUUUUCAUGAAUUUGCACACUUUCUAAAACUUUGGGAUGCCAGUGGAGACUAUUCUUUUCUUAUAGAAUGGUUUAUGGUGCCCUCUUUUGGAUUUCCAUUUAAAUUCCCAGGCUGGAGCAUGACCCCUGCCGCUCUGAGAUGAACCGAAGAAAUGUGACCAGAACUGGGUUUCCACACAGCUGGUUGCCUGUUUGGUUUGGUUUGGCAUAUGAGGAGUAGGGAUUCCAAUUCCCACUCAUGUCUGGCUAGUCCUGGGUCCUGAAAGGGACCAAGCUGGUGAUCCCUUCCAGCUUUCCCAUGUGUAGUGAGGAAUUGUAGGCUGGGGAUGAAAAGGUUGUCUCUGCGGCCGAGAACAGCCAGCAAAACUCCGCUCUCCUGUUAUUCCAGUUAGCUACCUGACUUCCGCUCUUCCCAUGGCUUUAUAAUGAAAAUUGUUCAAAUGAAGAUUUAUGACUUUAUUUUGGUGGGAUGUCUCAGGCGUUUGGUUUGAGGGAUGAAAUGCAUACUUAGCUUUCCACUCAUGCAUAGCCUAGCUAGUCUUUUCAUUACUGCAUUUGGCUCAGUCUUUGCCCAUCAAGCUCUGGCCUCCUUCCUAGGAUAAGUCAUGGCUUUGACUCCAGAGGCAGCCUGAGCCUCCUGCCCCUCUGAUGCUGCUUCCCUGGGCUGCCAGCGUUGGCCUGGAUCACAGGGCCAUUGUGUCAAUGUCCUUCAGUCUUCAACCUAGGAGAUGAAAUUUGAACUGCUCUUGGGGGCAGGAUGUCAGCUUCCUGGAAAAACAACAGACUCUGUCGCCUGGAACUGAGUGGCAACAUCCAAGCUGUGAGGUGAGAGCUGAAGCAGCCUGGGUGGUAGAGGUCAGGAGCUUAAGGCCUUGGGGUCUACACCCGCACAGGCGGCAAGCUGGAAGGCUCCAUACUCUGGGUCCCUUUCUGGCCAUUCAUUUAUGAAUGUCAUCAAUUCAAAGAGUAGGGAAGACAGUCACAAUGCAAUGACACUGGAAAUGCCCUGAAAUUGUCAGCCCAUUAUGAAAAAUGUAUAUACUAGAGAUUUUCUCAAAUUGGACAAUAUCCUAAGAUUCACAUGGUAUUUCCAACAAUGAGUCAUAAAACUAAAAUAAAGUACUAAACCAUUAAUAUUAAAAACA
rnacentral:lncRNA from 1 species